rnacentral:rRNA from 1 species
AUUGAACGCUGGCGGCAGGCCUAACACAUGCAAGUCGAGCGGAUGAAGGGAGCUUGCUCCUGGAUUCAGCGGCGGACGGGUGAGUAAUGCCUAGGAAUCUGCCUGGUAGUGGGGGAUAACGUCCGGAAACGGGCGCUAAUACCGCAUACGUCCUGAGGGAGAAAGUGGGGGAUCUUCGGACCUCACGCUAUCAGAUGAGCCUAGGUCGGAUUAGCUAGUUGGUGGGGUAAAGGCCUACCAAGGCGACGAUCCGUAACUGGUCUGAGAGGAUGAUCAGUCACAUUGGAACUGAGACACGGUCCAGACGCCUAAGGGAGGCAGCAGUGGGGAAUAUUGGACAAUGGGCGAAAGCCUGAUCCAGCCAUGCCGCGUGUGUGAAGAAGGUCUUCGGAUUGUAAAGCACUUUAAGUUGGGAGGAAGGGCAGUAAGUUAAUACCUUGCUGUUUUGACGUUACCAACAGAAUAAGCACCGGCUAACUUCGUG